AAGAAGAUGAUAAACU
rnacentral:sRNA from 1 species